rnacentral:rRNA from 1 species
GAUGAACGCUGGCGGCGUGCCUAAUACAUGCAAGUCGAGCGAACGGACGAGAAGCUUGCUUCUCUGAUGUUAGCGGCGGACGGGUGAGUAACACGUGGAUAACCUACCUAUAAGACUGGGAUAACUUCGGGAAACCGGAGCUAAUACCGGAUAAUAUUUUGAACCGCAUGGUUCAAAAGUGAAAGACGGUCUUGCUGUCACUUAUAGAUGGAUCCGCGCUGCAUUAGCUAGUUGGUAAGGUAACGGCUUACCAAGGCAACGAUGCAUAGCCGACCUGAGAGGGUGAUCGGCCACACUGGAACUGAGACACGGUCCAGACUCCUACGGGAGGCAGCAGUAGGGAAUCUUCCGCAAUGGGCGAAAGCCUGACGGAGCAACGCCGCGUGAGUGAUGAAGGUCUUCGGAUCGUAAAACUCUGUUAUUAGGGAAGAACAUAUGUGUAAGUAACUGUGCACAUCUUGACGGUACCUAAUCAGAAAGCCACGGCUAACUACGUGCCAGCAGCCGCGGUAAUACGUAGGUGGCAAGCGUUAUCCGGAAUUAUUGGGCGUAAAGCGCGCGUAGGCGGUUUUUUAAGUCUGAUGUGAAAGCCCACGGCUCAACCGUGGAGGGUCAUUGGAAACUGGAAAACUUGAGUGCAGAAGAGGAAAGUGGAAUUCCAUGUGUAGCGGUGGAAUGCGCAGAGAUAUGGAGGAACACCAGUGGCGAAGGCGACUUUCUGGUCUGUAACUGACGCUGAUGUGCGAAAGCGUGGGGAUCAAACAGGAUUAGAUACCCUGGUAGUCCACGCCGUAAACGAUGAGUGCUAAGUGUUAGGGGGUUUCCGCCCCUUAGUGCUGCAGCUAACGCAUUAAGCACUCCGCCUGGGGAGUACGACCGCAAGGUUGAAACUCAAAGGAAUUGACGGGGACCCGCACAAGCGGUGGAGCAUGUGGUUUAAUUCGAAGCAACGCGAAGAACCUUACCAAAUCUUGACAUCCUUUGACAACUCUAGAGAUAGAGCUUUCCCCUUCGGGGGACAAAGUGACAGGUGGUGCAUGGUUGUCGUCAGCUCGUGUCGUGAGAUGUUGGGUUAAGUCCCGCAACGAGCGCAACCCUUAAGCUUAGUUGCCAUCAUUAAGUUGGGCACUCUAAGUUGACUGCCGGUGACAAACCGGAGGAAGGUGGGGAUGACGUCAAAUCAUCAUGCCCCUUAUGAUUUGGGCUACACACGUGCUACAAUGGACAAUACAAAGGGCAGCGAAACCGCGAGGUCAAGCAAAUCCCAUAAAGUUGUUCUCAGUUCGGAUUGUAGUCUGCAACUCGACUACAUGAAGCUGGAAUCGCUAGUAAUCGUAGAUCAGCAUGCUACGGUGAAUACGUUCCCGGGUCU